AUGCACUUUCAUUUCCAGUGAGAAAUAUUUUUAAUCCUCACUUCUGAAGCGGAGUCAUUGUUUCUGAAUUACGACUGCAGUCUUUUGAGAAUUACCAGACAGAGAGGACGUUUGGUAAGAAAGUUUGUUGAAUCAUCCUUUCAUUUUCUAGUGACCCUUCAAGCCUGGAGCCUAGACCAGAGCCACUGUCUACGGUAGGGUGUUUUGCAAAGAAAGAAUUGCCAUCCUGAAGACCCGGAAUGGAAUUACUCUAUACAGCUCUGACCCUACACCCUGCGGCAUCCAUAGGGUGGACAGCUCACUCCCCUUUCCUCCUUUGUCUCUUCCUUUAGUAAUUUCCCCCAUAUCCAUUCAAGUGCCCGGUUUAUUUCCUCCCUCCUUAUUCCCUUCCCAAUCGUUUUGUGAGUAGUUGUAGUGCUAGGCGCCGUGGACACCGUGGGGAGGUUAGUGGGAGACCCAGGCCUGCUACCUAGGCCACCCUAGUAGUGGGAGAGGGGAGACCACCUCCUCUCUCCCACUACUGGGUUGGGAGGAGCCCACUGCGCUGAGUCCUGCAGGAGGAGCUGGCCUCCAAGGUGGGGAGCGAGGAGCCAGGCACACAGGCAGGGGGAGCUGGUCAGGUUCUGGGGUGCAUAGAAAGCAGCCCUGAAAAGGGGCAGGUAAAGGUAAGGGGGGAUGGCAUGGCUGCUGGGGGAAGAGAGGGACCGUGGCAUCCCAGACAAAGCAGUGAGAGGAUCGGGAAGCUUUAAGUGAGCGUAUAAUUUGAUUUUGCAUUUUAGAAAGAGCCUCUGGUUGCAUUUUGGAGACUGGGCGAGAGGGAGGCCAUUUGGAAGCACGGAGACCAGGAGGAUUUUUCAGAGAUUGGUAGCACAUUAAGUCUCUAACCAAUCUCAGGAAUGCUAUAUUUAAAAGGACCCUAAGGAGAGAGUAACACUCAACACACAGAGGUGAUUUGCCGAUGGCGGAAUCCUCUGCACCUGGAGAGAGGAUGUUUGCGCACCUGGACGCCUUCCCUGCGGCUAUCAAACCAGAUUGAAGACAGCUGCCUUCACCGGGGAAGAACACCGGUGAGGAAAGUGCCGGGGAGGACAGAGUUUGGCAGUGGAGGCUGGGGCAGGGUUAGAGAAGUGUGGAGACCCUGGCAGUGUCUAGAGCAAUGGUGCACACCCUCGGCUGCACGUUGGAGUUAGUUGGAGGACUCCUGAUGAUGAGGCCUCAGCCCAGGCCAAUUAAAUACAAAUUUAUAGGCAUCAGCAUUUUCCAAGCUUCCACAGGAUUCCAACGUGCAGCCAAGAUUGAGAACCACUGUUUGAAAAUGGGGCUCCUCAAAGUGUGCUCCGCGGACCAGCAGCAUCGGCAUCACCUGGGAGCUUGUUAGGAAUGUGGCUUCUCUGCCCCCACCUCAGACCUGCUGAAUCAGACUCUAUUUUCCCAGGAUCCCUUGGUGACUGCUAGCACAUUGACUGGGCAUUGGAAUCACUUGGGGAGCUUUCAAAAAAACCAUCUCAGUGCCUGGGUCCCACCUCCAGAAAUUCUGAUGUGAUCAGUUUGGGGUGUGGCCUGGGCACCUGACUUCUUAAACGUCCCAGGUGAGGCUCCAGCUUUACAGCCAGGGUGGAGAAGUGGGCUAGAGCCCAGAAAUUCCAUCAGCAUUCAUGGUGUUGCAGCCUCAAAAUAAAGAGAGGAGGGUGGGGCUCAGGCGGGGCUCUAGACAAACCUAGAAUCAUAUAACUAAAUGAAAAGUAAAUUUGGAAAAGUGAUUAUGAGUUUAAAAUACUUGAAUGGAAUCUGUGUCCUCUGCAGCAAAUCAUUCCUGGAAUUGAACUUUCUGAGGAGGCAAAGCAGCCAGAAUACUCAUGUUGAAAUAUGUUCCACUAGCUGCUUGCCAUGUAUAAGCCGAUCCAGGGCACUGGGCCUUCUGUGCCUAAGUGUGUACAUCUGGGCAACGGGCACAGCAGUGCCUGGUCGGGAGGAUCAGCAGAGGAGGCUGUGGUACAGGCAGCUUCUAAAAUAGCCCUGGGCAGCCUGCUCCUGGCGUUCAGGCCCUAGGGUCAUUCCCUCCCCUUGUGUGGCGGCUGGACUGGCUUCUAACAAUAGAACCUGGCAAAGUGAGGGGCUGUCCCUUCUGAGAUUAGGUUACAAAAGGACUGUGACGUCUCCCUCUGGUUCUUGGAGCCCUUGUUGUGAGGAAAGCAAGCUGCCGUUCUGAGGAGUCCAGGGGAGAAGCCAUGCAGGAAGCAACUGAGGUCUCCAGCCAACAGCAAAGCCCCGAGUCACCGGACAGCGCUGCUCCAGACCCCUUGAAGUCUCCUCUCUCCUAAGGCAGAGCGGCGAGAAUGUGGACUCUGCGUCCUCGCUGUGGAGGCUGGCACCCUAGAUCUGCUGUUAUCUGGCUGUCAGAUUCGGUGGAGGAAAGUAAACUCUCCGUGUUUCAGCUGCCGCAUGUCGAGAAUGGGGCUAAUGCUAGCGUCAAAGCAGGUGAAGCUUAAACAAGAAGCUGUUCCCAGAGCACACGGCAGUGUUUGGGACACCAUGGGCAUUUCACACAGUUGCCUGCCUUAUUAUCUGUUCUUACAACUUUCUCACAAAACCCACAGGCAGACAGGAGGGGUGGGGGACAGAGAGGCGUGAGACGGUUGCUCUUGGAAUCCACCUUCCAUCCACUGUCCUUCCAUUUUAACCAGUGAGGAGAAGCUCCCUCCUCAC
ensembl:lncRNA